GUUGUAGAUAUGAUGAGCUUGUCAUGUCUCUUCUCUGACUAACACUGGAGAAAGAUUCAACCUCUCUGAUCUCAGCACC
ensembl:snoRNA